GUUAAUGUAGCUUAAAACAAAGCAAAGCAUUGAAAAUGCUUGGAUGAGUUUACAAACUCCAUAAACA
rnacentral:tRNA from 1 species